UGAGGAAUAUUGGUCAAUGGGCGAGAGCCUGAACCAGCCAAGUCGCGUGAAGGAAGACAGUCCUAAGGAUUGUAAACUUCUUUUAUACGGGAAUAACGGGCGAUACGAGUAUUGCAUUGAAUGUACCGUAAGAAUAAGCAUCGGCUAACUCCGUGCCAGCAGCCGCGGUAAUACGGAGGAUGCGAGCGUUAUCCGGAUUUAUUGGGUUUAAAGGGUGCGUAGGUUGUUCGGUAAGUCAGCGGUGAAACCUGAGCGCUCAACGUUCAGCCUGCCGUUGAAACUGCCGGGCUUGAGUUCAGUGGCGGCAGGCGGAAUUCGUGGUGUGGCGGUGAAAUGCAUAGAUAUCACGAGGAACUCCGAUUGCGAAGGCAGCUUGCCAUACUGCGACUGACACUGAAGCACGAAGGCGUGGGUAUCAAACAGG
rnacentral:rRNA from 1 species